UUUUACCUGAAAAACAAUGUAGUCCAGUCAAUUUGUGGUUUCAGGUGGAACUACUUGCAAUAAAAUUUCUCUCAAAGGAUUUGGAAUAAGUGAUACAACCUAGUUUACAUACUAAAAGUCGAAAUUAAGUGAAACAAACUUACAAGUUUAAGUUUGUACAAGUCAGAGAGUCAGAGUUUGUAAUGGCCGACAGCUUGAAAACCGCUAGAAAGCUACAUUGUAGAAGGAGCUGCCAGGUUCCGGAAGUUAAUAAGUGUGUUAUUCAAGCAUCGGAAUAAAUCGUUGUGUUUAUAA